rnacentral:rRNA from 1 species
GAUGAACGCUAGCGGCAGGCCUAACACAUGCAAGUCGAGGGGUAUGGCAGCAAUGCCAGAGACCGGCGCACGGGUGCGUAACGCGUAUGCAACCUACCUUUUACAGGGGAAUAGCCCAGAGAAAUUUGGAUUAAUGCCCCAUGGUAUAUCGAGAUGGCAUCAUCAUGAUAUUAAAGUUCCAACGGUAAAAGAUGGGCAUGCGUCCUAUUAGCUGGAUGGUAAGGUAACGGCUUACCAUGGCUACGAUAGGUAGGGGUCCUGAGAGGGAGAUCCCCCACACGGGGACUGAGACACGGACCAGACUGCUACGAGAGGCAGCAGUGAGGAAUAUUGGACAAUGGGCGCAAGUCUGAUCCAGCCAUGCCGCGUGCAGGAAGACGGUCCUAUGGAUUGUAAACUGCUUUUGUACGGGAAGAAACACUCCUACGUGUAGGAGCUUGACGGUACCGUAAGAAUAAGGAUCGGCUAACUCCGUGCCAGCCGCCGCCGUAAGAC